AUAUCUUCUUUUCUCUCUUUCAUCAUCUUCUUUGUUUCUAACUUGGUCUGCUUUUUCUUUGUUGGCGUCUUUGAUUAGGAAAAACUCAAGGAGGGCUCCCUUCCCCCAUCUCCUGGCGGCGAUGAUGAUUCGCCAUCAGAUGACGUUUUCCCUAUCUCACAACCUUCUUCUUCCACCGUCAUUCUGUUUUCUGGGAUUGAUGGUUCUGCUUGUUCUUCGCCUCAUUUAACUGAACCUUACCCAGCAUUUUUGGCUCAGAAAACUGCCAGUACAGUCGGGUUGAUUCAAUAUUUGAGAGUCUCUCGAGGUUCCUGUGGAGACGAUUUUUCUCCUUCUCGAUGAGGAUGAGGGACCUUGGCUGGCGCUUCUGGGGUAUUUUACGAUGUACGAGGUGCAUUAGAAAAAGUGUUACCUUUGUUUUUUUUUCUCCCUUCCAUCUUACUUAAAUAUGGUGAUAGGAGUUAUAUAGUCAUCUCCCACGUGACGCCUAGUGGGAUCCAUACCAUUAUUGGCCUCCUUGUUUUAUCCUUCGAGGUAGGGCAGGAGAUGGAUCCUCCAAUGCUCGUAGCUAUGAUCGCUUUUAAGUCGGUUUCAUAAAAGCCCAAUUUUUAUGAUCUCGUCGGAAAUCCUUGAAUAGUACUUGCUGUUGGUGUUGCGUCUAGGACCUGGGCAAAUAAAUAUUUUUUUGUCAAGAUGGAUUAGAAUUUUGUUCCCAAAUAUUUUGUGAGGUCGGUUUGGUUGGAGUGGAACUCAAAUCCUUCUAGGGACUUUCUGAUGAUAUUGUUAGUGUUGUAUAUUUUGGUUUAAAAUCCUUAGUUUACCUGUGAUAGUAAAGUUGAAGGAUGUUGUCCCUCACAUUUGGAGUUCGUUUAAUCUUAUUCGGAUUUUGGAAAUUUUGCUCUUUCUGUCUCAACUUUUGUUGUUUUUUUUUUAAUUAUUUGUCUUAUUUUUAUGUUAGGUCAUCCUACUAAUCCUCCUUCUUCCAUUGUCCGUCGUUUCGAAUCUCGGAAUGACCUUAAGGGAGUCCGUAGAGGGUCUUGAGAUUGUUGUUGGUGAUGUUUAUGCUAUGGAGAUUGAGGCCUCUGGCUCUUGUGCUCUUCUUUCUUCGUCCCCCAGGUAUCUAAGCUGAGGGAGUUGCUUGACGGUUUGCGAUGAUCAGGAGUCAACGGUCUGCUCCAGGUCGUCAUUCGUAUUCGGAUGAUCCAAGGUUAAGGGGUGCUACUCUACUGAGAGGAGGUUGACAUCAUCGAGGGUUGGGUUCUAAGUCCGAAAUCAGACGUUUUCUUUUAAAGGCCCGAAAGUUGGGAAGUCGCUGCAUCUUCUGAGAGAGUUGACAGUGAUCCGCAUGUUACUGUUGUUCCCUCUUAACAAUCAGGGAAAUCUGCCACAUCUUUUGAUUAUCUUGGUGAUUCCUCUCUUGCUGAGGACGGUGGGGCUUGUGCUGACUUUUAUAGGCAUUUUUGUUUGGCUUGGUUGACGCUCUUAUUUUCUUUUUGGCAAACAAGUUUGGUGAAUCGACUCCUUCUGUCCUACGAUUGUAUGCUCCUUGAUGAGAGGGAGAAGGUGGUUGCUGUGGAUCGCUUUUCCAACCGUGACCGUGUUGCACUGAGAAUAGUGUAGAAAAGGUGGAGGAAGAGGCUCAGCGUUCAUCUGAGCUGAAGGUUCAGUUUGGGGCUACUGAAACUCAUUUGAGGGGCCGAUACAAGUAUUUUAGCGAGUUAGAGGCAUCUGGUCCUGCCCUUCUUGCACCACUGAAAAAUUCACAAGAUUCUCUGUCAGCGUCUUGAGUCGCGUCCGUGCUUAAGGAACCCGAGCUCAAGAGACUUCUCGAUGAUGCUCAACGAGAUUCAUGUGAGCGUCUAGAAUGCCUUGAGCUAAUGCUGAAGUCCCACCAGGAUGAAGUCUCCAUUGUCUAACAUUUUUGUAUUUCGGGUCGGGUUCGGAUAUUUAGAUUUUGAAGAAAAUUUUUCAUUGUUUAAGUUUUUUGUAUUUAAAAUAUACAUUUUCAACUUAACUGGCUUUCUAAUUUUUAAUAGAUUAAAAUAUUAAUAGGUUUGAAGAUAAAAUUUUAAAAAUAGAAAUACACUAAUUUAGUUGUUAUUUUAAAAUUUUGGAUGUAACUUUGUUAAUGUAAGAAACAAGAGCUUGAUAUGUAUUUUAAG
rnacentral:lncRNA from 1 species